CGCGGGAUUAGAGUUUGAUCCUGGCUCAGAACGAACGCUGGCGGCGUGGAUAAGACAUGCAAGUCGAACGGGAUUACUUCUAGUAGCAAUACCUGAAGUAAUUUAGUGGCGAACGGGUGCGUAACACGUGGGGAAUCUGCCGAGAAGUGGGGGAUAGCUCGUCGAAAGGCGAAUUAAUACCGCAUAUGAUCAGCCAAGACAUCUUGGCGACAUCAAAGCCGGGGCAACCUGGCGCUUCUUGAUGACCCCGCGGCCUAUCAGCUAGUUGGUGAGGUAACGGCCCACCAAGGCUAUGACGGGUAGCUGGUCUGAGAGGACGACCAGUCACACUGGAACUGAGACACGGUCCAGACACCUACGGGUGGCAGCAGUCGAGAAUUUUUCUCAAUGGGGGCAACCCUGAAGGAGCGACGCCGCGUGGAGGAUGAAGGCUUUCGGGUUGUAAACUCCUGUCAUUUGAGAACAAGUGCCAACAAAUAACUACUGUUGGCUUGAUAGUAUCAGAAGAGGAAGGGACGGCUAACUCUGUGCCAGCAGCCGCGGUAAUACAGAGGUCCCAAGCGUUGUUCGGAUUCAUUGGGCGUAAAGGGUGCGUAGGUGGCGCCGUAAGUGGGGUGUGAAAUUCCGGAGCUUAACUCCGAAACUGCAUUCCAUACUGCGGUGCUUGAGGGCUGGAGAGGAGACUGGAAUUCAUGGUGUAGCAGUGAAAUGCGUAGAGAUCAUGAGGAAGACCAGUGGCGAAGGCGGGUCUCUGGACAGUUCCUGACACUGAGGCACGAAGGCUAGGGGAGCAAACGGGAUUAGAUACCCCGGUAGUCCUAGCAGUAAACGGUGCACGUUUGGUGUGAGAGGAUUCGACCCCUUUCGCGCCGGAGCUAACGCGUUAAACGUGCCGCCUGGGGAG
rnacentral:rRNA from 1 species